CUAGGAGUACAGCUCAGUGAUAAGAGUCCAGGCCUUCCAUGCUUGAGGUCCUGGGUUCAAUCCCCAGCAGA
rnacentral:tRNA from 1 species